UUGCCUACGGGGGGGCUGCAGUGAGGAAUAUUGCGCAAUGGAGGAAACUCUGACGCAGCAACGCCGCGUGGGUGAAGAAGGCUUUCGGGUUGUAAAGCCCUGUCAGGCGGGAAGAAACCUCCGCAGGUGAAUAGUCUGUGGAACUGACGGUACCGCCAAAGGAAGCACCGGCUAACUCCGUGCCAGCAGCCGCGGUAAGACGGAGGGUGCAAGCGUUGUUCGGAAUCACUGGGCGUAAAGCGCGUGUAGGCGGUUCGAUAAGUCGAGUGUGAAAGCCCGAGGCUCAACCUCGGAAGUGCAUUCGAAACUGUCGGGCUUGAGUACGGGAGAGGGAAGUGGAAUUCCUGGUGUAGAGGUGAAAUUCGUAGAUAUCAGGAGGAACACCGGUGGCGAAGGCGGCUUCCUGGACCGAUACUGACGCUGAGACGCGAAAGCGUGGGGAGCAAACAGGAUUAGAUACCCUAGUAGUCGG
rnacentral:rRNA from 1 species